AGUGAACGCUGGCGGUAGGCCUAACACAUGCAAGUCGAACGGCAGCACAGUAAGAGCUUGCUCUUACGGGUGGCGAGUGGCGGACGGGUGAGGAAUACAUCGGAAUCUACUUUUUCGUGGGGGAUAACGUAGGGAAACUUACGCUAAUACCGCAUACGACCUACGGGUGAAAGCAGGGGAUCUUCGGACCUUGCGCGAUUGAAUGAGCCGAUGUCGGAUUAGCUAGUUGGCGGGGUAAAGGCCCACCAAGGCGACGAUCCGUAGCUGGUCUGAGAGGAUGAUCAGCCACACUGGAACUGAGACACGGUCCAGACUCCUACGGGAGGCAGCAGUGGGGAAUAUUGGACAAUGGGCGCAGGCCUGAUCCAGCCAUACCGCGUGGGUGAAGAAGGCCUUCGGGUUGUAAAGCCCUUUUGUUGGGAAAGAAAAGCAGCAGGUUAAUACCCCGCUGUUCUGACGGUACCCAAAGAGUAAGCACCGGCUAACUUCGUG
rnacentral:rRNA from 1 species